rnacentral:rRNA from 1 species
GACGGGGGCCCGCACAAGCGGUGGAGCAUGUGGUUUAAUUCGAAGCAACGCGAAGAACCUUACCAGGUCUUGACAUCCCGAUGCUAUUUCUAGAGAUAGGAAGUUACUUCGGUACAUCGGUGACAGGUGGUGCAUGGUUGUCGUCAGCUCGUGUCGUGAGAUGUUGGGUUAAGUCCCGCAACGAGCGCAACCCUUAUUGUUAGUUGCCAUCAUUUAGUUGGGCACUCUAGCGAGACUGCCGGUGACAAACCGGAGGAAGGUGGGGAUGACGUCAAAUCAUCAUGCCCCUUAUGACCUGGGCUACACACGUGCUACAAUGGGAAGUACAACGAGUCGCUAGACCGCGAGGUCAUGCAAAUCUCUUAAAGCUUCUCUCAGUUCGGAUUGCAGGCUGCAACUCGCCUGCAUGAAGCCGGAAUCGCUAGUAAUCGCGGAUCAGCACGCCGCGGUGAAUACGUUCCCGGGCCUUGUACACACCGCCCGUCACACCACGAGAGUUUGUAACACCCGAAGUCGGUGAGGUAACCUUUUUGGAGCCAGCCGCCUAAGGUGGGAUAGAUGAUUGGGGUGAAGUCGUAACAAGGUAGCCGUAUCGGAAGGUGCGGCUGGAUCACCUCCUUU